rnacentral:rRNA from 1 species
AACUCUCAACAACGGAUAUCUUGGCUCUCGUAACGAUGAAGAACGCAGCGAAAUGCGAUACGUAGUGUGAAUUGCAGAAUUCCGUGAACCAUCGAAUCUUUGAACGCAUCUUGCGCUCGAGGCUUCGGCCGAGAGCAUGUUUGCCUCAGCGUCGGUUU